AUGAAAAUGAAGCAAGGAUUUGUGUUGCUUAUUUGGUGCAAAGCAUGUGCAAUUUCAGAUGUAUAUGUACAGGGAAGCAACAUGUUUUUGGACUAUUAUAAUGGACUGGUUUACAAGGCUGUUUUGCAGAUGAUGCAGGGCUGCAUAGGGGGUUUAUGGGAAGCAGCAAUAAGAGCUAUUUGUGCAGAAUUUUUGGACUCUUUUGCAGGGUACCAUUGCAGCAGGGUUUUUGUUGUUUUGUGGGCUGCAUUUUGA